UCCUGAAGAAGGGGCGUCUAAAAGGCCAGCCCAUGCAUCUUGUUCAGACCAGGCUGCUCCAUCUCCGCUAAGCCCAGGGAUCCACUUGUGUGUCUUUCUGGGAUAAUUGUCUUUAGUGGCAGCCUGGGCCUCGGGGAAGGAAGGGCAUGAGGAAUGGCCCCGGCUGGGAUGUCAGGGGCCCAGGACAACUCCUGUCUCUACCAGGAAAUUGCCCCCUCUUUUCAGAGGCUGCCUUGUCCUAGGUAUCUGAUGUCCUGCCCUUGGCAGUUUUCAACUCCAGAUGUAGGUCUGACUCCUAUUAGGCUACCAUUUCUUUGUGGGAAGACAGAACCUCGUCGCGACAUUUCUCAGAAGCCAUGACAUGUCCCUGCGGCUGGAGGCCUUUCAAGGGUGGCCCAGGAGGCCUCAAGGGCCCGGUGUGGCCUGCAAAGGAAGAACAGCUGUUCUCACGGAAGGAUCCAAAGGGUUCAAAGGCGAAGGGUGCCAUCUGCUUCCCCACUGAUUCAGAAGAUAAACAGGAGAAGUGUCCUGUUUCACCCAUAUUGCUGGUCCUGAUUUUUCAAUAGUGUCCCUACCCUGAAGCUCUUCCAUUGGUCAUCAUGGAGUUAGCUAACAGCCCAGGGAACUGGUCUCUUUUCCCUUUUCCCUUACCACCUGGAACUCACCUGGAAAGGGCAAUCAGCUGGCUCUAUAUCAGACGCCACCACCUGGUCUUUGAAGUUUCUGUCCUACCAGUGCCACAGCUCCCUCUCCCACUUCUGAACUACCUCCAAGAGAGACCAUCCUCAGCAGCCUAGUAUGUUAUGCUAGUCCUGGAAUGGUGUAUUCUGGAUGUCUACUCAAGGCCAAACCCCAGUAUUGCCUUUCGUUUCCCUAUUCAAGGCCAAGGCUAGAUUCUCUUCAUUGUCUCCAUUUCUCUUUCUCCAGAGCUCCUAUAGGGCAAGACACUGUUUCUCAUAUAUUUCUGGAUCCUUGGAGCUUAGCUCGGAGCUUGGCAUACAUGCCCAGCAUGAACUUUUCUGAAUAAAAUAAUUUCAAAUGCUGU
rnacentral:lncRNA from 1 species